rnacentral:rRNA from 1 species
CAGUAGCCACGGUAAUACAGAGGGUGCAAGCGUUAAUCGGAAUUACUGGGCGUAAAGCGCGCGUAGGUGGUUUGUUAAGUUGGAUGUGAAAUCCCUGAGCUUAACUUAGGAAUUGCAUUCGAUACUGGGAAGCUAGAGUAUGGGAGAGGAUGGUAGAAUUCCAGGUGUAGCGGUGAAAUGCGUAGAGAUCUGGAGGAAUACCGAUGGCGAAGGCAGCCAUCUGGCCUAAUACUGACGCUGAGGUACGAAAGCAUGGGGAGCAAACAGGAUUAGAUACCCGCGUAGUCCCUGUCUCUUAUAA